AGCUCAGUGGUUAGAGCAGGCGACUCAUAAUCGCUUGGUCGCUGGUUCAAGUCCAGCA
rnacentral:tRNA from 2 species